UACAGAGGAUGCAAGCGUUAUCCGGAAUGAUUGGGCGUAAAGCGUCCGCAGGUGGCUAUGUAAGUCUGCUGUUAAAGAGUGAGGCUCAACCUCAUAAGAGCAGUGGAAACUACAUGGCUAGAGUGCGUUCGGGGCAGAGGGAAUUCCUGGUGUAGCGGUGAAAUGCGCAGAUAUCAGGAAGAACACCAAUGGCGAAAGCAGCUCUCUGGGACGGUACUGACGCUGAGACGCGAAAGCGUGGGGAGCGAACAGG
rnacentral:rRNA from 1 species